UUCAGCUUGGUACUAAUAUAACAGCAAUUGUUUUUUCAUUGCCAUGGUUGUCUGCAUUUUCAAAAAUUUAUCUGAAGGAUGAGGAAGAGAUGGGUAUUCCAUCAUCCACAACCAGGAAGCAUCCAGUGUCUUUUCCUUUGGGGGAGCUGAGGAGGAGACAGUGUCAUCUGCUGGAGAUGUGGCCUGAGG
rnacentral:lncRNA from 1 species